UGAGAAUAACUACCUGGCACAUCAUCCUCACAUUUAUCUUUAAAGUUUCCAUUGGAGAAGAUUUUUUUUGUUAAAACUCUGAAAAUCAUAUGUGGCCUAAAAUAUAAGAAUUCUUCGUUGUCUCAUUGAGGAGUUGAGAGUAGUCGUAAAUUCAAGUGAGAACUACUACCACACCCAUUUCUCAGUUUUUUUUACAUUGUCAAACCCACCGAUAAAAACUUCAUUCUCGCACCCAUUCCUCCGUGAAAAAUUAUUAGGAGACCCCUUUUUAAGAAAUUAAGUUUUGUGGAUUUUCUUUCUAAUGUCGGAGAUACGCAGUCCUUAGAGAGAGAGAUGAGAUAUUUGGAAAGUGACUCUUCAAUUAAAUUUUCUCUCUGCAACAGAGAGAUCGAGAUCUUUCAUCAUUUUCUUUUUCUUGUUUCAUCGUUUCACUAAAAUUUCUCUCAAUUCGUUCAAUUAGAAUAUCUCCCAACUCGUUUUCGAUUGAUUUUUCUUGAUCGUCAAUUCCGAGAGGAAGAGAGAACUUGAAGAAUUUCAAGGAAUUUUGAAGGUAGGGUUUUCUGGGUUAUUCUAGGUUAAUGGAGUUGGAGUGUGAUUUCGUAAUACAGAGAUCAGAACGUGUUGAAUCUCUAAAGAGAAAGGAGGAUUUUGUAAUGGAAAUUGGAUACUAGAUAUGGGGAUUUCAGUUCAUUCCCAGAUUGAUGCGGACCUGUCUUCACUUGUUUAACUGAGCUUUACGCCUUUACAACUGUAGUAUUGGUUAAGCAAACUACUUAUUGUAACUUCUAGUCCCUCCGUCCAUACGCCGGUGGUUAUCAUGCUUACUCUGAGGUGAGUAGUUAUUAAGGCGAUGAAUUGGUUAGGCGUCUCCAUCAUUGAGACUGGUCCGAAGAUACUUGUCUCAUAGUUCUGCGACGUGCAUGCUAUGUUCAACUUUUGCUCACCUCUGGUCCAGGCUUCAUGUUUUGUUCUAUUAAUUUAUGCUUUGAGAAUAAGUACUAAUACCAAGUAUUUGGUUGUUAUGAGCUCUCCAUCUGGACGCCAAGAUACAUCUUCAUUAUUGUGGUGAUGGGUUCAUCUGCCAUUGGGCCAUGCUUGCGUCAAUGACUGGUUUUGUCUCACGAUGAGCUUCGUGUUGUGGUGACUUCAUAGUGAAUAAAUUGCGUCAUGGUGUUCAUUUCCGUUUUUAAGAGGAGUUUGCUCUUCUUGGAUGACGGGGUUUAAGAUUUGUGUGAAUCGAAUUGGUUUUAGGCUUUGAGAUUGGUUGUUGGUCGAGAUUUGUUGAAAGCAUCUCUAUCUUGGAACUGGAAUGGCCACACACUGACAGUAGGCUUAUAAGCUGCAAUACGGUCAUCCAUUGGGAGGAAGUGUAUUAAACAUUAUGAAUCUUAGAAUUCAUGUGUCAGUCCAUAUUUGAAUCUGUUUCAUAUAAAGCUAAUGUAAAUCCUAUUGACCUUGUCUAUUAACCUUUGGGAAAGAAUAAUUUUAUGUUGCA